GACGGGGCCCGCACAAGCGGCGGAGCAUGCGGAUUAAUUCGAUGCAACGCGAAGAACCUUACCAAGGCUUGACAUACACCGGUAACGCCCAGAGAUGGGUGCCCCUUUGUGGUCGGUGGACAGGUGGUGCAUGGUUGUCGUCAGCUCGUGUCGUGAGAUGUUGGGUUAAGUCCCGCAACGAGCGCAACCCUCGUCCUAUGUUGCCAGCGGGUCAUGCCGGGGACUCAUGGGAGACUGCCGGGGGUCAACUCGGAGGAAGGUGGGGAUGACGUCAAAUCAUCAUGCCCCUUAUGUCUUGGGCUUCACGCAUGCUACAAUGGCCGGUACAAAGGGCUGCGAUACCGCGAGGUGGAGCGAAUCCCAGAAAGCCGGUCUCAGUUCGGAUUGAGGUCUGCAACUCGACCCCAUGAAGUCGGAGUCGCUAGUAAUCGCAGAUCAGCAACGCUGCGGUGAAUACGUUCCCGGGCCUU
rnacentral:rRNA from 1 species